rnacentral:rRNA from 1 species
UACGUAGGGGGCAAGCGUUGUCCGGAUUUAUUGGGCGAAAGAGCGUGUAGGCGGCCAUGUAGGUCCGUUGUGAAAACUCGAGGCUCAACCUCGAGACGCCGAUGGAAACCAUGUGGCUAGAGUCCGGAAGAGGAGAGUGGAAUUCCUGGUGUAGCGGUGAAAUGCGCAGAUAUCAGGAAGAACACCCUGGCUAAGGCGGCUCUCUAGUACGGUACUGACGCUGAGACGCGAAAGCGUGGGGAGCGAACAGG